GUGACCUUUUCAGCUGUUGGAUCAAGUUGUUUUAUCAGGCACUUAGCCAGAGCAAAAGGAAAAAAAUAUACAACCAAGCCCACAUCUAAGAGAUACAGCAUCAAUGGAAGCAGGCAUUUUCAAAGUGGACAUCAUAUCUUCGCUUUCUGCAUUAAAAGAUUGUCUCAUUGGCCGUCAUUAAAAUUUGUCUCAGGAUUUGUGUAAAGGACAACAUAUCUCCACUCAUGGAUCCUGAAGCUCCUGAUGCCACCUUGAACAGGUUGUCCAGCUUUAAAAUUUUAACUUUCCAUAGCAAACCAAUAUACCUGCUGAAAAAUCCAUACUCACCUGCUCCGCACCACUCCGUUCUGGACCCCAGUUUUUCAGCUUCUACACCGACGGGGUCAUGUGCUCCACUGUGGAGACUUGACCUCAAACAGCAUGUGACCCAGCAGUUAGAUGCAGAAGGAAUGAAAGGCAUCUGCAGUAAACACUGGAUAGCAUCUGAUUUGAUUUACUACAAUUGGUGGUCAUUACUCCUGAAGCAGUGAUUUUCCAUUUUUCUGUUCACAUAGCCUUAUGAGGACUUGUUUUUGAGUAACAAAUUGUACUUUCGAAUGGCACUAUUUAAUAUUGCAUAGAAUGUAGUGGGAAGCUG